GAUGAACGCUAGCGGCAGGCUUAAUACAUGCAAGUCGAGGGGCAGCAUAAUUGUAGCAAUACAGUUGAUGGCGACCGGCAAACGGGUGCGGAACACGUACAGAACCUUCCUUCGAGCGGGGAAUAGCCCAGAGAAAUUUGGAUUAAUACCCCAUAGUAUUACGGAGUGGCAUCACUUUGUAAUUAAAGAUUUAUCACUUGAAGAUGGCUGUGCGGCUGAUUAGGUAGUUGGCGGGGUAACGGCCCACCAAGCCUGCGAUCAGUAACUGGUGUGAGAGCACGACCAGUCACACGGGCACUGAGACACGGGCCCGACUCCUACGGGAGGCAGCAGUAAGGAAUAUUGGUCAAUGGACGAAAGUCUGAACCAGCCAUGCCGCGUGAAGGAUGAGGGUCCUCUGGAUUGUAAACUUCUUUUAUAUGGGACGAAAAAAGGCUUUUCUAAGUCGUCUGACGGUACCAUAUGAAUAAGCACCGGCUAACUCCGUGCCAGCCGCCGCGGUAAAAC
rnacentral:rRNA from 1 species